UACAGAGGGUGCGAGCGUUAAUCGGAAUUAUUGGGCGUAAAGGGCGCGUAGGCGGUUGUGCAAGCGGGAUGUGAAAUCCCUGGGCUUAACCUGGGGUGGUCAUCCUGAACUGUGCGACUGGAGUACUGUAGAGGGCAGUGGAAUUUCCGGUGUAGCGGUGAAAUGCGUAGAGAUCGGAAGGAACACCAGUGGCGAAGGCGGCUGUCUGGACAGAUACUGACGCUGAGGCGCGAGAGCGUGGGGAGCAAACAGG
rnacentral:rRNA from 1 species